rnacentral:rRNA from 1 species
UGGGGAAUAUUGCACAAUGGGGGAAACCCUGAUGCAGCGACGCCGCGUGAGCGAAGAAGGUUUUCGAAUCGUAAAGCUCUGUCCUUUGGGAAGAUAAUGACUGUACCAUAGGAGGAAGCCCCGGCUAACUACGUGCCAGCAGCCGCGGUAAUACGUAGGGGGCAAGCGUUGUCCGGAAUCACUGGGCGUAAAGGGUUCGCAGGCGGAAAUGCAAGUCAGUUGUGAAAGGCAGAGGCUCAACCUCUGUAAGCAAUUGAAACUGUAUUUCUGGAGAUGUGGAGAGGCAAGUGGAAUUCCUAGUGUAGCGGUGAAAUGCGUAGAUAUUAGGAAGAAUACCGGUGGGGAAGGCGACUUGCUGGACACAAACUGACGCUGAGGAACGAAAGCGUGGGUAGCAAACAGG